UAAAGACGUAACACUAUACCGGUUAAUACAUUCCAUAGAUUCAAACCCAAAGAAUUUGGCGGUAUCUUAAAUACUCAGGGGAACCUGUACCUUAAUUUGAUGAUCCACACAACUCAUACUAUACCUCGAAUUUCAGCCUGUGUACUGCUGUCGCCAAUAAACCUCUAAGAGUUAGUUUACCUAGAUACUUAGUUAGUAAGGACGUCAAGUCAAAGUGCAGCCCAUGUUAUAGCGGAUAUGGGUUACAAUUUCUAUAUAAAUGACGAACUAUUAAUAAUAAAAAUAAUAUAAAGGUGAACUUGACAGUAAUAUAAAUAAGACAACUAUAUAAACAUUUACCUAAGAUAUGCACACAUCGCCCGUCGCUCUCAUUCAAUUUG
rnacentral:rRNA from 1 species